UACAGAGGUCUCGAGCGUUAGGCGGAAUCACUGGGCUUAAAGCGCGUGUAGGCGGGUCGUUAAGUGCCUUGUGAAAUCCCACGGCUCAACCGUGGAACUGCUGGGCAUACUGGCGAUCUUGAGCCACCUAGGGGCCUGCGGAACAAACGGUGGAGCGGUGAAAUGCGUAGAUAUCGUUUGGAACGCCAAUGGUGAAAACAGCAGGCUGGGGGUGUGCUGACGCUGAGACGCGAAAGCCAGGGGAGCAAACGGG
rnacentral:rRNA from 1 species